rnacentral:rRNA from 1 species
AGGUCAAGCUACAAAGGGCGCAUGGUGAAUGCCUUGGCAUCAGGAGCCGAUGAAGGACGUGAUAAGCUGCGAUAAGCUUCGGGUAGGCGCACAUAGCCUGAGAUCCGAAGAUCUCCGAAUGAGGAAACUCACAUGGGAAACCCCAUGUAUCAUUAAGUGAAUACAUAGCUUAAUGAAGGUAACCCAGGGAACUGAAACAUCUAAGUACCUGGAGGAAGAGAAAGAAAAAUCGAUUUUCUUAGUAGCGGCGAGCGAAAGGGAAAGAGCCCAAACCGGAAACUUGUUUCCGGGGUUGUGGACAUAGCAUCAAAGUGGAGGCUAUUGUAACUGAAGAGAACUGGAAAGUUCCACCGUAGAAGGUAAUAGUCCUGUAAGUGAAACGAGAAGACCACGAGUUAUGAUCCAGAGUACCACGAGACACGUGAAACCUUGUGGGAAGCAGGGAGGACCACCUCCCAAGGCUAAAUACUACCUGAUGACCGAUAGUGAAGCAGUACCGUGAGGGAAAGGUGAAAAGAACCCCGGGAGGGGAGUGAAAUAGAACCUGAAACCGUGUGCCUACAACCGCUCAGAGCCCCUUAUGAGGGUGAUGAGGUGCUUUUUGUAGAACGAGCCAACGAGUUACGGUAUGUAGCAAGGUUAAGUACUUAAGGUACGGAGCCGAAGGGAAACCGAGUCUGAAUAGGGCGACUAGUUGCAUGCCGUAGACCCGAAACCGGGUGACCUAUCCAUGGCCAGGUUGAAGCGAGGGUAAAACCUCGUGGAGGACCGAACCACGUUGCUGUUGAAAAAGCAUGGGAUGAGCUGUGGAUAGCGGAGAAAUUCCAAUCGAACCCGGAGAUAGCUGGUUCUCUCCGAAAUAGCUUUAGGGCUAGCGUCGAGUAUGAGUAGUGGAGGUAGAGCACUGAAUGGGCUAGGGGGCAUAGCGCUUACCGAACCUUAUCAAACUCCGAAUGCCACAUACUUUGAGCUCGGCAGUCAGACUACGAAUGAUAAGAUCCGUGGUCAAAAGGGAAACAGCCCAGAUCGUCAGCUAAGGUCCCAAAGUGUAAGUUAAGUGGGAAAGGAUGUGAGAUUUCUAAGACAACUAGGAUGUUGGCUUAGAAGCAGCCAUUCAUUAAAAGAGUGCGUAAUAGCUCACUAGUCGAGAGAUCUUGCGCCGAAAAUGUAACGGGGCUAAACUUACCACCGAAGCUACGGGCUUGAACUAAGUUCAAGCGGUAGGAGAGCGUCGUAACCGGGCUGAAGUCGUACCGUAAGGAGCGGUGGACUGGUUACGAGUGAGAAUGUUGGCAUCAGUAGCGAGAUGUGGGUGAGAAUCCCACAGGCCGAAAACCUAAGGUUUCCUCAGGAAGGUUCGUCCGCUGAGGGUUAGUCGGGACCUAAGCCGAGGCCGAAAGGCGUAGGUGAUGGACAACUGGUUGAUAUUCCAGUACCACUACCAUCGUUAUUAUCGAUGGCGUGACGCAGGAGGAUAGUGUGUGCUAGCUAUUGGAUGCUAGUCUAAGCGUUUAGGCAGUGAGAGUAGGCAAAUCCGCUCUCAUAAUGCUGAGGCGUGAUG